rnacentral:rRNA from 1 species
CAGCCGCCGCGGGAAUACGGAGGGUGCGAGCGUUAAUCGGAAUAACUGGGCGUAAAGGGCACGCAGGCGGUGACUUAAGUGAGGUGUGAAAGCCCCGGGCUUAACCUGGGAAUUGCAUUUCAUACUGGGUCGCUAGAGUACUUUAGGGAGGGGUAGAAUUCCACGUGUAGCGGUGAAAUGCGUAGAAAUGUGGAGGAAUACCGAAGGCGAAGGCAGCCCCUUGGGAAUGUACUGACGCUCAUGUGCGAAAGCGUGGGGAGCAAACAGGAUUAGAUACCCGGGUAGUCCCUGUCUCUUAUAC